UGACAAGUGCAAGCUAAGGACCCUUUCACUUUUCUCCAGUUGCUUCUUCUUUCGCCAUCCAAAUCUGUACCUAAACAAACAAGAGUUGAAAGGAAUCCUAUUCGAAUUAUAUUGUCGCCAAAAGCUUCUUCUUUUUUUGAGAAUAUUUAUUUAUAUAUAAGAAACUAUAUAUAAAGCUGUACGUAGUUUUCAUAUACCAUCAAUAAUUAUCUACCUCCCUCUCUCUUUCUUCUUUUCUCUUUUUUACUUUUCUAAUUAGUGAGUUUAUCAGACAUGAAUGAGCCACCAAAAUAUGGUUAUCCAUACCCCUCUCAAGCUCAAGGUUAUUAUCAGGGGCCUCCUCCUCCAGUGAUGGCGCCACCAACAUAUGCAGCUGCUCCUCCACCUCAGAAAAACAGAGGUUUUCUUGAAGGAUGCCUAGCAGCUCUGUGUUGUUGUUGCCUGAUAGAUGAGUGUUGCUGUGAUCCCUCUAUCAUCUGUAUGUGGUAGUAAUUAAGGUGUUGCUUCUGCUUUUUACCAAAAUAAUAAGAAUUGUAAUGUAAAUAAGUUCUUUAGGAACAGCAGUAUUGGGAGUUUAUCUUGUAAUUAUCUUCUUUUAAUUAUUGAACUCUUUUUUGUUCUCUGA